GUCGCUGCGAGGCGGGGUCUGGAGGAAGCCGUAGACAAGAGGUGCGAGGCGACGGACAGAAACCACAUAGAGGAGGCCUAGGACGCCAGACGAGCCGGCACUGGAUGGCGAAGUCUGAUGGUACAGCGUCUAGGGUAGAUGUGGCGCUUGUGCAUCGACAGUUCACGUU
rfam:Vitreoscilla filiformis strain ATCC 15551 chromosome, complete genome.